UACGGAGAGGGCAAUCGUUAUUCGGAAUUAUUGGGCGUAAAGGGCGCGUAGGCGGCUUGACAAGUCGAAGGUGAAAUCCCUCGGCUCAACUGAGGAAUGGCCUUUGAAACUAUCUCGCUAGAGGCCGGGAGAGGGUAGCGGAAUUCCCAGUGUAGCGGUGAAAUGCGUAGAUAUUGGGAGGAACACCGGUGGCGAAGGCGGCUACCUGGACCGGUUCUGACGCUGAGGCGCGAAAGCGUGGGAAGAAAACAGG
rnacentral:rRNA from 1 species